CAAGAUCCGAACCUUUUCUUUGCUUCGACCCUCGGGUCGUCCCCAAGGUAAGAUCCGGUUGAAACUUGGGAUCCGGGAACGUCCUCUUCCUCCACCUCAUGAUUACCAUUUUGCCCCUCCUUCUAGCUAUUAUUACACAAAUGCCCCUCCUCCACCAAGAUACUCUGCUCCGCCUUACGUUUCUCUUCCCCCGCCGCCUCCUCCACCGUCAUCCUCUCCUCCUCCGCCAAAUCCGCCUUACUCCUCCAUCCCCGAUGGUUACCCUCCCUACUACUCCAGCCAUUACUAUUCCUCUCCGCCACCGCCCAUGCCUCCACGUCCUUUCUUCGAACGAGCUUCCAGCUAUGGAACCCCAUCGGCGCCAGUAGAUUACUCG
rnacentral:lncRNA from 1 species